rnacentral:lncRNA from 1 species
UUGAAAAUUCCAUUUUAUGCCGUUAAAUUUGCCAAUGGCUUAUCUGAAUUAUUAAAAUUGUUAUAGUUUAGUUUAUUCAAUCACUAGAUAAAUGAUAUCAAAAAUAAUUAUCAAAUCUAAAAGUCUCCUUAUCAAAAAUAAUUUAAAAGUACAAAAAUCUCCGUGUUUUUUAAACCAUAUAUAUAUAUAUAUAUAUAUAUAUAGAGAGAGAGAGAGAGAGAGAGAGAGAGAGAGAGAGUUGAGCUGAAAUGUUAUUAGUAGCAAACGGGCUUCUUUGUCACCCAUUUGUUUUCGAUAAUAGAACUUUCAAAUUGAUGAUCGGUAUUGUUGAAUAUGAUUUAUAUCACUUGAAGUAUCUAGAAAUUAAAUUACAAAUUAUUUCGAUAUCAUUUGCCUAAUAAUCAAAGGGUUUUAAAAUUAUAAUUUUAGUGGUCGAUAUAAGACGUUUUCUCGUUUAACGGUAUAAAGAUAUCCAAAUUAAUUGAAUUUUGGUUAUAAAAUUUUUUAAAUAAUUUAGAAGAUGAUCUAUCCUCUUGAUCUUACUCACAAGACUUCUAUCAUCACUUUUUAAAGAAUAUUCAUUUUAAGCCAUUCAUUAUUGUGUCCACUUAAUGGAAAAGAAAAUAAUAUCGAAAAAAUAUGAAAUUUAGUUUCUAGAUGCUUCAAGUGGUAUGAUCAUGUUCGACAGUGCCGACCGUCAAUUUGGAGGCUCCAUCAUAAAAACAAAUGGGUGGCAAAUAAGCCCGUUUACAACUAAUAGCAUUCCAGCUCCUCUCUCUCUCUCUCUCUCUCUCUCUAUAUAUAUAUAUAUAUAUAUAUAUAAAUAUAUAUAUAAAAUUAAACUCCUAUAUUUUUAAAAAUACUAAGUUAUUAGUGCUUGUAGAUUUUGGCUAUUAGAUUAUGGGAUAUAUAUAUAUAUAAUUGAGCUCUCAUAUUUUUAAAAGUAUCAAGUCAUUAGUGCUUUUAGGUUUUCGGCUCUUGAAUUGAGAGACGUGUGGUUAUAAUGAUAAUGGUCCCCAAGGAUUGAGUGAUUGGAUGGUUGAAUAAUAUGAUCUAACAGAUGAAAAUAGUCAAAUGAUUAGAUCUAACAAUAAAAAACUUACAAGCACAAUCCAAAUGCUUGAUACUUUUAAAAGCACAGUAGCCAAACUCUCUCUCUCUCUCCAUACAGUA